UUACGGCCACAUCACGUUGAAACAUAGGUUCCCGUACGAUCACCGAAGUUAAGCAACGUCGAACUUGGCCAAUACUUAAAUGGAUGACCGAUUGGAAAUAUCAGGUGCUAUA